rnacentral:rRNA from 1 species
GACGAACGCUGGCGGCGUGCUUAACACAUGCAAGUCGAACGGAAAGGCCCUGCUUUUGUGGGGUGCUCGAUUGGCGAACGGGUGAGUAACACGUGAGUAACCUGCCCUUGUCUUUGGGAUAACUUCAGGAAACUGGGGCUAAUACCGGAUAGGAUCUCCUGCUCCAUGGUGUGGGUUGGAAAGUUUCGGCGGUUGGGGAUGGACUCGCGGCUUAUCAGCUUGUUGGUGGGGUAGUGGCUUACCAAGGCUUUGACGGGUAGCCGGCCUGAGAGGGUGACCGGCCACAUUGGGACUGAGAUACGGCCCAGACUCCUACGGGAGGCAGCAGUGGGGAAUAUUGCACAAUGGGCGGAAGCCUGAUGCAGCAACGCCGCGUGCGGGAUGACGGCCUUCGGGUUGUAAACCGCUUUCGCCUGUGACGAAGCGUGAGUGACGGUAAUGGGUAAAGAAGCACCGGCUAACUACGUG